ensembl:lncRNA
CUGCUUAAUAUUGUUAUGGAAACCCUGAUAUACUUUCUUUAGAAUUUUGAUGAAUCGAAAGUGAUUAUAUACAUUAUGCUUUCUUUAAAUACAGGCCUGAUUUCAAAUCACCCAAACCUUAUAUAUAUAUAUAUAUAUAUGUACUGUAUAUUUGGUUACUAAAGUGCUACUCAUCUGUAGGCUCAUACAUUAUGACCCAGUACGGGGUCAUGGAGUGUAUUUUACCUAGUUAAUAUUUGUUACAUUUAUUUCACUGUUUGGCAUUGAACACAGACCCGACAGCAGGAUUCUAUCUUUCUUCUUUUCUUUCUUCUCUUUUGCCUAUUAAUAUCAUCACAGCAGCUCGGAUCCACAUAAACUUUGGCUCUUUUAAUAGCUGCCAUUUCUUUUAUGUUUUUACUUUGACGUUAUUUUCCAGAAACUGUAAUAAUUGAAAAAAAAAAAGAAAAAGAAAGAAAACUCUGCCGGGGAAACCAAAAAAAUUGGCAAUUGUUUUCAUGUGACACAGCAGAGAGGGUGAGCCGUAAGCAAUCCUUAAGUGUUUUCAUGUCAGCUUACAGAUUCUGUGAAGAGACGCCACAGCAAACCGAACUGUGAAUGGGCGGAGAACAGCAAGGACUCCAGCUUUGACCUGAGGGGAAAAGCACAAUCCUGCCAAGAAUACAAAGAGUGCAGGAUGACAACGACUAUGCUGACCAAUCCCACAUUAAAAGCAUCAGCCUGCUUGCAUGGAUGGAAAAUGGAUUGCCUCUGUGAGAUCAAAACUCCAGUCUCCUGAUGCAAGAGGAAAUAAACAGAGGCUUGUUGCGGCUGCGUUAUCACUCCCUGUCUGUUUGGAGCACAACCAAAAGCUACAAAUCUGCAGAGCUGCCCAGUGGCGGGCGAGCAUGAAAUAACUCAUCAGGUUACGAGUCAUUUUCAAGGGGUGACUGAGUAAAGGUGGCUGUAUUAAGUGUGAAAGGAAUCAGGGCCAAGAGCGCAAUCACUCUCUGAUUGGACUGAUCUGAUUUUUCCUCCGCAAGUGGGGAAAAAAACAUUCUGCAUUUCUGAAGCAGCAUGUCAUUCACCGAAUGAGCAGAACUGCCUUCAAAAUAGGCAAAUCUAACAUAAGAAUGGUGGCAAGACUUUACCAAGUAAGGUAAGCUCCAGUAGUAGUUCAUUUUUAAGUCGGCAUGAAAUGGGAAUUCUGCCUACCUAUUUCCUAAAUGAAUUUUAUUGAAAAUGUUAUAACUCUGUCUUUUGGUGCCAGGGUUUUCAUUUAAUCAUUUAGUCUGCAUAAACUCCACUCUUUUGUUACAAGUGACUGCAUGCUCAUGUUCAAAACUGCCUCCAUCCAAUCAACCACUGGUGAAUAAAAUAAAGUCCUCACCACA